rnacentral:lncRNA from 1 species
CUUCAACAAGAUGGAUAACAAUCUCAUCUUCUUGGACACUCAUAGGAGACUCCUAAGAGAUAAUUCUGACUCUGCCAGAAUCCCAGUUUGUACAUAGCUGUUUCCUCACGUGCAAAGAAGGAAGCUGAUUAUAUUUCUUGCAUACAACAUUUUCCCACUACUGAAGAAAGAUGGAAGAAAUUACUUUUCCUUGCCGUAUGCUUGGCUUAAAAUAUUGCUCAAAAGAGGAUCACAGACCCCGUGCUGAGGUCACGUAUGGUAAGAUGAUGGUAACUGAGACUGACUGAACCUUUAUGUAUCACUACAUCUGUACUCAUCAAGUCAGCAUAGCAUGUGUUAAUCAACUUUAAGACCAUUUUAAAGUGAACUGAAGUAAAACUGAAAGACAGGGAUGAGCCAAGACUUAAUGCAGGUGUACAGAAGGCAAAUGCAGAGCCAUGGGCAUCUGUUUAAAACACCACUGCUGGAGGAAGAAUGCAUUGAAAUGAAUGACUGAUACAGGUACAGAUUUCUGAGAUGCAAAAUAGGGAAAAGUUUUUUAAGAAAGCUGAAAUCUCUUCAGUAACGGUAUAAAGGACUGAUUGUGCAAUCAGAUGGCACACACUGUAGCUGUGGAGCUGUU